rnacentral:tmRNA from 1 species
GGGGGCGUUUAUGGAUUCGACGGGGAUUGGACGAGCGCGAGCCAGCGGGUAGCAGGGAGUCGUCUGCUUCAUCAACGCUAAAGCCUAUUAAAUGGCAAACAACAAACAAACUACGCUGUAGCAGCUUAAUAACCUGUUCGCGUGCUCUCGCUCUGUAUCGCCCAUGUACCGGGAUGAGGGCCCAACUUUAGUGGGAUACGCUGUAACAUCUCCGCCUGGGGUGUGCUGAAGAAGAUAAUCAGGCUGACCUGAGAAGAACCGCGUUGCAGGGGGCCUCCUCAGGUGACAUCAAAACUGCAGCUACACCCGUAGAAAGCCGUGUGGCGUGAUCUUCGGACAGGGGUUCAAAUCCCCUCGCCUCCACCA